GAGGACAGCGUGCUUUUGUGUACUGUUGGA
rnacentral:piRNA from 1 species